rnacentral:rRNA from 1 species
CGAGCGGUAGAGAUCUUUCGGGAUCUUGAGAGCGGCGUACGGGUGCGGAACACGUGUGCAACCUGCCUUUAUCUGGGGGAUAGCCUUUCGAAAGGAAGAUUAAUACCCCAUAAUAUACUGAAUGGCAUCAUUCGGUAUUGAAAACUCCGGUGGAUAGAGAUGGGCACGCGCAAGAUUAGAUAGUUGGUGAGGUAACGGCUCACCAAGUCUGCGAUCUUUAGGGGGCCUGAGAGGGUGAUCCCCCACACUGGUACUGAGACACGGACCAGACUCCUACGGGAGGCAGCAGUGAGGAAUAUUGGACAAUGGGUGAGAGCCUGAUCCAGCCAUCCCGCGUGAAGGACGACGGCCCUAUGGGUUGUAAACUUCUUUUGUAUAGGGAUAAACCUACCCUCGUGAGGGUAGCUGAAGGUACUAUACGAAUAAGCACCGGCUAACUCCGUGCCAGCAGCCGCGGUAAUACGGAGGGUGCAAGCGUUAUCCGGAUUUAUUGGGUUUAAAGGGUCCGUAGGCGGAUCUGUAAGUCAGUGGUGAAAUCUCACAGCUUAACUGUGAAACUGCCAUUGAUACUGCAGGUCUUGAGUGUUGUUGAAGUAGCUGGAAUAAGUAGUGUAGCGGUGAAAUGCAUAGAUAUUACUUAGAACACCAAUUGCGAAGGCAGGUUACUAAGCAACAACUGACGCUGAUGGACGAAAGCGUGGGGAGCGAACAGGAUUAGAUACCCUGGUAGUCCACGCCGUAACGAUGCUAACUCGUUUUUGGAAUGUAAGUUUCAGAGACUAAGCGAAAGUGAUAAGUUAGCCACCUGGGGAGUACGAACGCAAGUUUGAAACUCAAAGGAAUUGACGGGGGCCCGCACAAGCGGUGGAUUAUGUGGUUUAAUUCGAUGAUACGCGAGGAACCUUACCAAGGCUUAAAUGGGAAAUGACAGGUUUAGAAAUAGACUUUUCUUCGGACAUUUUUCAAGGUGCUGUAUGGUUGUUUCAGCUCGUGCCGUGAGGUGUUAGGUUAAGUCGUGCAACGAGCGCAACCCCUCUCUCUAGUUGCCAUCAUUAAGUUGGGGACUCUAGUGAGACGGCAUACGCAAGUAGAGAGGAAGGUGGGGAUGAUGUCAAAUCAUCACGGCCCUUACGCCUUGGGCCACACACGUAAUACAAUGGCCGGUACAGAGGGCAGCUACACUGCGAACAGAUGCAAAUCUCGAAAGCCGGUCUCAGUUCCGAUUGGAGUCUGCAACUCGACUCUAUGAAGCUGGAAUCGAUAGUAAUCGCGCAUCAGCCAUGGCGCGGUGAAUACGUUCCCGGGCCUUGUACACACCGCCCGCCAAGCCAUGGAAGUACCGGGUACCUG